AGACACAAGCGCGACAGCGGUCAGGUCCUAGGGCCGGGCCGGGCCGCCAGCGGCUGCACGCCGCGCCCGCCGCAUACUUCCGACCCCCCUGGCUCGGGCUCGGGCUCGGGCUCGGGCUCGCCCACAGGAAGAGGGAGAGAGAGAAAAAACUCCCCGCGCCCUCCCCGCCCGCCUGCAGCCGCCGGGAGACGCGUUUGCUGCACGCGCCUCUGCUGGAAGGAGGACUGCAGUGGGACGGAGGCGGCGGAGCACGGGCAGCUCGUGCCGAGGAAGCCAAUCCUGAGGUCCUGCUCAUGGUCCUGCAUCCUGCUCAGCUGAGUAGUGUGGAAAGUGUUUGCAAAGCUACAUGCCCACUCCAAACGGACUUGACAAGAACUGGACUGAGUAACGCUUUAUUCAUUUUUUUUUUAACUCACUGUAUUUGAAAACUAGUUUGGGAAGAAUGGCAAUAAGUAAAAUUACUCUGAGUA